rnacentral:rRNA from 1 species
AUUGAACGCUGGCGGCAUGCCUUACACAUGCAAGUCGAACGGUAACAGGUCUUCGGAUGCUGACGAGUGGCGAACGGGUGAGUAAUACAUCGGAACGUGCCUAGUAGUGGGGGAUAACUACUCAAAAGAGUGGCUAAUACCGCAUGAGAUCUACGGAUGAAAGCAGGGGAUCGCAAGACCUUGUGCUACUAGAGCGGCCGAGGGCAGAUUAGGUAGGUGGGGGGAAAAAAGCUUACCAAGCCGACGAUCUGUAGCUGGUCUGAGAGGACGAUCAGCCACACUGGGACUGAGACACGGCCCAGACUCCUACGGGAGGCAGCAGUGGGGAAUUUUGGAAAAUGGGCGAAAGCCUGAUCCAGAAAUGCCGCGUGCAGGAUGAAGGCCUUCGGGUUGUAAACUGCUUUUGUACGGAACGAAAAGCCCUGGGUUAAUACCCUGGGGUCAUGACGGUACCGUAAGAAUAAGCACCGGUUAACUACGUGCCAGCAGCCGCCGUAA